ensembl:snRNA U6 U6 spliceosomal RNA
CCGCUUUGACAACACGCAUACUAAAAUUGGAAAGAUACGAAGAUGAUUAGCUUGGCCCCUGUGUAAAAAUGAGAUGCAAAUUAAUGAAUCAUUUCAUAGUUUU